GCAAUGGUGUCUUUAGACACCACCACUGAUAUCCAGUAAUCUCUAU
rfam:Picea glauca, whole genome shotgun sequence.